UACGUAGGGUGCGAGCGUUAAUCGGAAUUACUGGGCGUAAAGGGUGCGCAGGCAGUCUCGUAAGCUGGGUGUGAAAGCCCCGGGCUUAACCUGGGAAUGGCAUUCAGGACUGCGAGGCUUUGAGUGUGGCAGAGGGAGGUGGAAUUCCACGUGUAGCAGUGAAAUGCGUAGAGAUGUGGAGGAACACCGAUGGCGAAGGCAGCCUCCUGGGCCAGCACUGACGCUCAUGCACGAAAGCGUGGGGAGCAAACAGG
rnacentral:rRNA from 1 species